rnacentral:rRNA from 1 species
GACGAACGCUGGCGGCGUGCUUAACACAUGCAAGUCGAACGGAAAGGCCCUGCUCUUGUGGGGUGCUCGAGUGGCGAACGGGUGGGUAACACGUGAGUAACCUGCCCUUGACUUUGGGAUAACUUCAGGAAACUGGGGCUAAUACCGGAUAGGAGCUCCUGCUGCAUGGUGGGGGUUGGAAAGUUUCGGCGGUUGGGGAUGGACUCGCGGCUUAGCAGCUUGUUGGUGGGGUGGUGGCUUACCAAGGCUUUGACGGGUAGCCGGCCUGAGAGGGUGACCGGCCACAUUGGGACUGAGAUACGGCCCAGACUCCUACGGGAGGCAGCAGUGAGGAAUAUUGCACAAUGGGCGGAAGCCUGAUGCAGCAACGCCGCGUGCGGGAUGACGGCCUUCGGGUUGUAAACCUCUUUCGCCUGUGACGCAGCGUGAGUGACGGUAAUGGGUAAAAAAGCACCGGCUAACUACGUG